UGCCAGCCGCCGCGGUAAUACGGAGGGUGCAAGCGUUAAUCGGAAUUACUGGGCGUAAAGCGCGCGUAGGCGGCUUUGUCAGUUGGGUGUGAAAGCCCCGGGCUUAACCUGGGAACUGCAUCCAAUACUGCAAGGCUAGAGUAUGGUAGAGGGAAGUGGAAUUUCAGGUGUAGCGGUGAAAUGCGUAGAUAUCUGAAGGAACACCAGUGGCGAAGGCGGCUUCCUGGACCAAUACUGACGCUGAGGUGCGAAAGCGUGGGGAGCAAACAGGAUUAGAUA
rnacentral:rRNA from 1 species